CAACGCACGUUGAAUACGUCCCUGCCCUUUGUACACACCGCCCGUCGCUCCUACCGAUUGGAUGACUCGGUGAAAUCACCGGAUGCUUACGAGCAGAAAGUGAUUAAAUCACGUUAUCUAGAGGAAGGAGAAGUCGUAACAAGGUAACGGUAGGUGAACCUGCCGUUGGAUCAGUU
rnacentral:ncRNA from 1 species